rnacentral:rRNA from 1 species
GGCCAGACUCCUACGGGAGGCAGCAGUGAGGAAUAUUGGUCAAUGGGCGCGAGCCUGAACCAGCCAAGUCGCGUGAGGGAUGACGGCCCUACGGGUUGUAAACCUCUUUUGCCGGGGAGCAACGGGCGCCACGUGUGGCGCCACUGAGAGUACCCGGAGAAAAAGCAUCGGCUAACUCCGUGCCAGCAGCCGCGGUAAUACGUAUGGAGCAAGCGUUAUCCGGAAUUACUGGGUGUAAAGGGAGCGUAGGCGGCGAGGCAAGUCUGAUGUGAAAACCCAGGGCCCAACCCUGGGACUGCAUUGGAAACUGUAUUGCUUGAGUACCGGAGAGGCAGGCGGAAUUCCUAGUGUAGCGGUGAAAUGCGUAGAUAUCAGGAGGAACACCGGCGGCGAAGGCGGCCUGCUGGGCCGCGACUGACGUUGAGGCUCGAAAGCGUGGGGAGCGAACAGGAUUAGAUACCCUUGUAAAA